rnacentral:rRNA from 1 species
GUCGAGAAUCUUUCACAAUGGGGGCAACCCUGAUGGAGCGACGCCGCGUGGAGGAUAAGGUCUUCGGAUUGUAAACUCCUGUCAUGCGUGAACAAGGUUGCUUGGUUAAUACCUGGGCAAAUUGAUGGUAACGCAAGAGGAAGAGACGGCUAACUCUGUGCCAGCAGCCGCGGUAAUACAGAGGUCUCAAGCGUUGUUCGGAAUCACUGGUCGUAAAGGGUACGUAGGUGGCGUGGUAAGUCAGAUGUGAAAGCCCGGGGCUCAACCUCGGAACUGCAUCCGAUACUGCCAUGCUAGAGUACUGGAGAGGUGACUAGAAUUCUCGGUGUAGCAGUGAAAUGCGUAGAUAUCGAGAGGAAUACCAAAGGCGUAGGCAGGUCACUGGACAGUUACUGACACUGAGGCACGAAGGCCAGGGGAGCGAACGGGAUUAGAAACCCCGGUAGUCC